AGGAACUACUUGCACUGGGUGAAAGGAUUGGGAGUGUCAGCACAGGUUUUGAUGAAGAUCUGAUAUCCAAGUGUUUGACAGAAACAGUAUAUGGUUCUUCAGGCCAAAGCGAGGAUGAAGGAACUUGUGCGAUUUGCCUGGUAAGAAUCUUCUCCAAGUAUAUACUGUCGGUUGGAUUCUAAUCAUAGUUUUAAAUCGUGGUUGCGGUCGCGAGUAACAGAAAAAGGCUUGUAUGUAGUAACGGCCUCGGUUACACAAGUUUUUCAAAAAAAUUUGCAAAGUUCAUAAAUGAAAUUAUAUUAAUUAAAUUUUAAUUCAGAACAAUGUAUACAAAUGCAUAAUAAACAUAAAUACAUGAAAUAUAGAUUAUUUAAUUUAAGUUAGACAUCAUAUAGUUUAAAAUAAGAAAAACCAACAUAAUCUUUGUAGAUCGAGUCAACUAAUAGCUCAAAUUAUAAUUUGAACUCAAAACUAAUAAUUUUAUUGACAAAAAUCUUUUUAAAAAAGGGAAAAAAUAACUAAAAACUAAAGCACAUAAAAUUUAAUUAACUUUUUAGAAGAAAUAAGUUUGGAAAAACAGUAGUUUAUGAUAAAUUUAAGUUUAUAGGAAAAAUAUGCAAGAAAGAUUGAAAUUUAAAAGAGAAAGUGAAGAGAAAACUUAAAAAAUAUAGCCUUUAAAAUUGUUGAAAAGUAUAAAAACUAAUGAAAUUGAGAAUAGAAAAAUUAAUGAAAUUGAGAAUAGGGGCAGAAGAGGAAGGAUAUAAAAAAAUUUCAAUUAUUGGUAACAACCGUUGAUAUAAAAGAAUUUCAAUUAUUGGUAACAACCGUUGCCAUUAUUUAACGGUCAGUAACGGUCGUUAUGCCGGUAAAUAGGGGGCCAUUGUAACGGUCGUUACGCAUGCAAAUCAGAGGAUCAUUGUUGUUUUACAACGGAUAACGUAAUGGCCGUUAUUUAAAACUAUGAUUCUAAUUAUGGAAUGGCCCGACUGUUGUUAGCUGUUGUUACCAUGGGCGGAAGUAGGGGGGAGUUUGGGAGGGCCACCGUUAUUUAAAACUAUGAUUCUAAUUAUGGAAUGGCUCAGCUGGUGUUACCAUGGGCGGAAGUAGGGGGACAAGGGAGAGACUUGGCCCUCCCAAACUGGCCCCCAAAAAAAAAUAUUUUUAUAUAUAUUUUUAUAUGUAAUUUUUAAUUAUUUUACAUUUGAUCCUCUCAAAAUUAGUAAUAAGAUUUAAAAUAUAGUGAACAAUAAAAAUUUUAGUUUCUUAAAAUAUUUUUAAAAUUAUUUUAAUAAAUUAAUAUAAUUUGAUUUUUUUUUUUAUUUAGUCUCCAAAAAUUCUUAGGUGGGUCCACCGUAAACUAAGAUACGUUAAAUAUGGGUCUCAUGUAAUGAGAUUCAAUUCUCUGUGUCUUGGGUCCAUAGUAGACUCGAAGUUUUUAUAUUAUUUUUAUUUAUUUUAUAUUUAUUUAGUUUAUUAUAUAGGCCUUUGUCAGCCUCCUCCAAAAAAAAAUUUCUAGUCUCCCGUGAUUGUUUCAUUAUUGACUGUUAGUGGAUUGGAUCAUUAUUGUCAACCAUUUACAUUUUUUUUUUAAUUAUCCAAAACUAUUUACAAAAUCAGAGUGUCGACUUUGUUUUAUGUGCUACUUAGCUGCCUGAUUCUAUUCUUUCUCAUUGAAUAUUGUUGGCCUUAUCGUUGAACCCAUUCAGAAUUUUCCACCAUUGAAGGACAUGAAUUAAAAUGAUUAGUUUAGUUGUCAUAAUUUGUCUGCAGAAUGGAGUUUCAGAAUGUGUAAUCCUAUUGAAAAUUCAAAAAAAUAUCUUAGUAACUAAGACCUUUGUGGCUUUGUUGUUGAACUAUUUAUGUUCGAGUAAUUCAUACUAAUCUUUGUUGUUGAACUAUUGAUGUCCGAGUAAUUCAUACUAAUCUUGUAAAGAAAAACGAAUAAAUUUAUAAAAACAAUUUUUGUUAUGCCAUAAGAAAACGAGGACAAAAAGGAUUAAAGAAAAUGAAGGGCAAGAAGACAUCAAGUCAAAGAAGAGGAGAGUGAGUCAGAGGCCACUUUCUUCUUACCAUGCAUUGGAUAAUAUUCAGAUAGGUCCCACAAUCUUGUCACCACUUGAUUAUUGAUUAGGUACAGGAUAUAGCCUCCACAUUUAGAUUGUGAAGAAAGUUGUCCAUAACUCAUGGCCACAUCUCCUCCUCCACCACUGUGACUGUCCAUUUAGGUUCCACCACUUGCCUUCCCAUGAUUUGAGAUCCUGGUUCCACCACUUGCCUUCCAAUGAUUUAAGAUCCAGAAAAUAAGAUUUUACAAGAAUUCUGUGAACUUGGAAAUAACUUACGCCUAGAGGAGGGCAAUCCUCCUUUUAUCUGUUUUCUUUUGUCUGCUAGUGACGUAUAACAAACUGUCUAUCAUUGGGUCACAUGUCCUUACAAUGUUGAUACGGACGUACGAGAAUAUCAGAUCCAUGCCCCAUGCGUAACGGCCUCUGACUCUCCCCGGGCGCGCAUACGAAUGGAGCCACAAGACAGAUGGGUUGAUCCCCUUCUUGAUUCCAAACCAGGCCGGAAGAUAAGAUUGAAAUGGGGCUCAGAGGAAAUCUGCUUGAGGGGCUAGGAAGGCUGGGACGGCCUGGUUGAGAAAUUCAGAUGAGACCCGGUC
rnacentral:lncRNA from 1 species